rnacentral:rRNA from 1 species
GGACUACUGGGGUAUCUAAUCCUGUUUGCUCCCCACGCUUUCGCGCCUCAGCGUCAGUUGAUGUCCAGCAGACCGCCUUCGCCACUGGUGUUCCUCCGUAUAUCUACGCAUUUCACCGCUACACACGGAAUUCCGCCUGCCUCUCCAUCACUCAAGAAACACAGUUUUAAGUGCAGCUCCAAGGUUGAGCCUUGGCAUUUCACACCUAACUUAUAUUCCCGCCUACGCGCCCUUUACACCCAGUAAUUCCGGACAACGCUCGCUCCCUACGUAUUACCGCGGCUGCUGGCAC